rnacentral:tRNA from 1 species
GAGGGUACAGCUCAAGUGGUAGAGCGCAUGCUUAGCAUGCAUGAGGUCCUGGGUUCAAUCCCCAGUACCUCCU